rnacentral:rRNA from 1 species
ACGAGACCGAUAGCGAACAAGUACCGUGAGGGAAAGUUGAAAAGCACUUUGAAGAGAGAGUUCAAGAGUACGUGAAACCGUUUAGGGGUAAACCUGAGAAACCCGAAAGGUCGAAGGGAGAAAUUCAUUCGCGCUUCGCCGCGGGCGGUGGACGGUCGAGUGACGGGAAGCUUCGCGCUUUUCCGCGCCUUCCGUUCGUCGAACCCGUAGCGAACGCGUGCACUUUUCUCCUGGUAGGACGUCGCGAUCCGUUGGGUGUCGGUCUAAGGCUCGCGGUGGAGCCCGUCAGUCGUCUUCACGGACGUACUGACGGACCCGCUUGUCCCGGCCGACCCGCUCGACGGUAUACGAAAGGUUUAAGGCCGCUCUUGGAGCGUUCGACUCGCGGCAAGCCCGCCGGAUGCGUCGGCGAUCGGACCUGGUGCCGAUCCUGACCUCCGGUGACUGUUGGCCGCGAAGUUCUCGAACAGACCUUCGAACCGAUCCGCGACGCUAUAGCUUUGGGUAAUUUCAGGACCCGUCUUGAAACACGGACCAAGGAGUCUAGCAUGUACGCGAGUCAUUGGGAAUCACUAAACCUAAAGGCGCAAUGAAAGUAAAGGUCUUCCUCGCGAAGACCGAGGGAGGACGGGCGGUUCACCCUUAAAAGUGGCCGCCUCGCACUCCCGGGGCGUCUCGUUCUCAUCGCGAGAAGAGGCGCACCAAGAGCGUACA